AGUGAACGCUGGCGGUAGGCCUAACACAUGCAAGUCGAACGGCAGCACAGUAAGAGCUUGCUCUUACGGGUGGCGAGUGGCGGACGGGUGAGGAAUACAUCGGAAUCUACUUUUUCGUGGGGGAUAACGUAGGGAAACUUACGCUAAUACCGCAUCCGACCUACGGGUGAAAGCAGGGGAUCUUCGGACCUUGCGCGAUUGAAUGAGCCGAUGUCGGAUUAGCUAGUUGGCGGGGUAAAGGCCCACCAAGGCGACGAUCCGUAGCUGGUCUGAGAGGAUGAUCAGCCACACUGGAACUGAGACACGGUCAAGACUCCUAAGGGAGGCAGCAGUGGGGAAUAUUGGACAAUGGGCGCAAGCAUGAUCCAGCCAUACCGCGUGGGUGAAGAAGGCCUUCGGGUUGUAAAGCCCUUUUGUUGGGAAAGAAAAGCAGCAGGUUAAUACCACGCUGUUCUGACGGUACCCAAAGAAUAAGCACCGGCUAACUUCGUG
rnacentral:rRNA from 1 species